CCUACGGGGGGCAGCAGUGGGGAAUAUUGCACAAUGGGGGGAACCCUGAUGCAGCGACGCCGCGUGGGUGAAGGAGUAUUUCGGUAUGUAAAGCCCUAUCAGCAGGGAAGAACAAUGACGGUACCUGACUAAGAAGCACCGGCUAAAUACGUGCCAGCAGCCGCGGUAAUACGUAUGGUGCAAGCGUUAUCCGGAUUUACUGGGUGUAAAGGGAGCGCAGGCGGCGCGUUAAGCCUGGUGUGAAAGCCCGCGGCCCAACCGCGGGACUGCAUUGGGAACUGGCGCGCUGGAGUGCCGGAGGGGUG
rnacentral:rRNA from 1 species